rnacentral:lncRNA from 1 species
CAGCAAUAUGAUUACUCGAUAUUCUACCCAGUCUCAGCUUAUGAAUUCCAGUUCCCGCAGCCAGUUUGAUACCACCUCUUUUACUCAGCCUGACCAGCAGGUUAACCUAUCAUAUGAUAAUAGGAUUGGGGAUGCCCUUGGUCCACCUCUGUCACCAUCAUUCGAAGCUGGAAUCUCUUCUAUUCAGCAAGCGAAUCUUAUUCCUUAUGAGGACUGGUCCCAUAAUUGGGUGAAGGGUGUUGAUGACUCCUUACCUGAAAUGCUUGAAAAUGAUGAUAUGCAGCACUUGAUUUGGCCUUCCAGCAUGGGAUGUCACGACAAUAUGAUUACUCGAUAUUCGAAUCAGUCUCAGCUUAUGAAUUCCAGUUCCCACACCCAGUUUGAUACCACCUCUUUUACUCAGCCCGACCAGCAGGUUAACCUAUCAUAUGAUGAUAGGAUUAGGGUUGCCCUCGGUCCACCUCUGUCAUCAUCAUUCCAAGCGGGAAACUCGUCUAUUCAGCAAGCGAAUCUUAAUCCUUUUGAGGACUGUUCCUGUAAUCGGGUGGAGGGUGUUGAUGACUUCUUAUCAGAUGAGGAAAAUUACAUCAGAAGUCACGAAAUGCUUGAAGAAGAAGAUAUGCAGAUGUUGCUUUCGCAUUUCGGCAUGGGAGGUCUCUCUUCCAUUAAUGAGAUGGGUCGGCCGAAAAUUAAGGCUGAAAUGAGAUGGGUUGUCAGGAAGAAGGCAGCUGAGAAGAGGGCAUAGAUUGUGGAGUUGGAAGACGAAUAGAAUUUGCUCUGGUGAUGGAGUUUGACAUUGAAUCUUAACCAUCAACUGGAUCUGACAAUUGCUGAAACUCUUCUUCAGAUCAAGUAGAUUCGCUAGGUUUCAGGACUCCACAUUUUCCAGUAUGUACAGUAUGUUGUUCGCUUUUAUAACUUUAUCUGUUUAAUUAAGUAUUUUCAUCAGACUAUGAUUUCAAUGUUAAAAUUUCUGCAAAUGAUUGCUAAUAUACAUUAUGUACGUGUUCAUUUCUGUUGCAUUGUGAUUUCCAAAUUCUUUAUUUGUAGCGUCUAUUCUCCUUGGGUCGUUCAUAGACUUCACCCUUUUAGCCUGUGAUGAAGUACAUGGAAUCUACACGUUUGCCUGAAGAAAUGUUGGAAUUAUAUUUUGGAGAAGUUUUCUCAAAACAAUAAUUUCAUUAUCUAACAUGGCAAUUAACUUUAGGAGCCGUUGCAGAUAUCAUUACGCAUUCUUUGCUUAGUCACAGAUCAAAAUAUCUAUUGCAUAGUUUCAUGAGACAUUAGUGUUGAUUGAUGAUAGAUAGUAUUAUAAGAGAUGAUCUAAUGUUCUUAGUGGAUAGGAUAACAAUUGCUCACUGUUAAUGUGACGUCGUCACGUCAACAAAUCAAACUUUUUUUCUUUUGAUCGUUGACGUGGCAUCAUCACAGUAGUAGGUGGGCAUUACAACUUUUGUCCACCGUACAUAGGAGAUCGUAUAGUCAUGGUUUUUGCUUGCAACAUGAAUGACGUUUCAUGUUGUAUAAUUUAUAAGAAAUAUAAAUGGAAUCUCAUAUUUGCCGAUAUACAAGAUAGUGAUAAAUGAACAUUCAUAUACUGGUUCAAAGCCAGUAAGUAGGUACCUAAAAGGUGAAAUCGAAGAAUUCUAUUGAACAGAAAAGUAGGGAGCCACGGUAUAUAUGCCUAUAUGCUGCCAAAAACCCUUUUGUAUUAACAAAAAAGAACUGAAAAAUUUUAUGUACCCUUUGCAUGGUUUAUCAUUGUGCGAUCUUGAUAGUACACACUGGUGGGAAGCGUUUUGCAUUCGAGCAGUAAUUGUAAAUCAUAUAAUUUUUCUGCACCCAUUUUAGUCUUUCUUGGCCUGUGGAAUCUAAUUCUUCACUUAGCCAUGCAGGGUUGGAGUUGGAGGUGGAGAGUUGGAACUCCAAGAAGACGACCGUGAAGAUCAAAUACAGGCAUUUACGUUGAAAUUCCUGUAGGAGGUAGUAAAUGGAGCCUGACUCUAGUCUGUUUUCACAAGCCCGCCUCUAGUUCCCUAGUCGUCCACGUUCUCUAACAUUUCCCCCAAUUGCUUCCUAAGUUCUUUAAGCUCAGGCUGAAACAUACGGUAUGGUGCCCUGGCGGGAGCUUUGGCGCCUGGAAUAAGUUCGAUCUCAUGAUCAAUCGUCCUUCUUGGUGGUAAUUUCUUUGGUAAUUCUUCCGGCAUGAUGUCCUCAAAUUCCCGAAUAAGCCUUUUAACGGGUUUUGGAAUAGGACCAUUCGCCUUUUCGGCCUCCUCUAAUCGAAGAGUGCACAAAAAAGAGGGUUCAUUUCUCUUGAAACCUUUACUAAAUUACAUGGCUGAGAUACUCUUCUCGCCCAUCUUCCCAACCUGUGUAGGGAUGACACACGGCUUAUUACCCAUCAUCAUUAACGAAUCGGAAUAUGGCAACACCGCUGUCUUAGUAUCCCGAAGAAAUUCCAAUCCUAGAGUAAGCUUGAAAUCAUCUAUCUGAACUGCAGAUAAAUUUGUCCUUCCCUCGAAAGGACCUGCUUUGAUCAACACCGAUUUCACCACUCCAGCUAUUGGUUGAGCAGCGGAGUUGAUUUCUUUGACUUUUCCACUACCCUUUUCUAGAACAAGUCCGAGUCGAUCUACUUCGGUACAUGCAAGGUAGUUGUGGGUAGCACCAGUAUUCACCAUAGCCCUAAUUGGCUUCCCAUUGAUUUUUACAUCAAUGUACAUUAAGCUUUUGGCCCUACAAAUUCGAGCCUUCACUUCUUCCAUCUUUGCCUCUUUCAAUGGGACAUCAUCUUUUUCAGCAACUCGAUGCGACAGGGUGUUGCACCGAUGUGAAAAUGCCCCAACUACUUCCUCAUUCUCUUCAGAGUCAGUCUCACUAUNNNNNNNNNNNNNNNNNNNNNNNNNNNNNNNNNNNNNNNNNNNNNNNNNNNNNNNNNNNNNNNNNNNNNNNNNNNNNNNNNNNNNNNNNNNNNNNNNNNNNNNNNNNNNNNNNNNNNNNNNNNNNNNNNNNNNNNNNNNNNNNNNNNNNNNNNNNNNNNUCUGUUUAAUUAAGUAUUUUCAUCAGACUAUGAUUUCAAUGUUAAAAUUUCUGCAAAUGAUUGCUAAUAUACAUUAUGUACGUGUUCAUUUCUGUUGCAUUGUGAUUUCCAAAUUCUUUAUUUGUAGCGUCUAUUCUCCUUGGGUCGUUCAUAGACUUCACCCUUUUAGCCUGUGAUGAAGUACAUGGAAUCUACACGUUUGCCUGAAGAAAUGUUGGAAUUAUAUUUUGGAGAAGUUUUCUCAAAACAAUAAUUUCAUUAUCUAACAUGGCAAUUAACUUUAGGAGCCGUUGCAGAUAUCAUUACGCAUUCUUUGCUUAGUCACAGAUCAAAAUAUCUAUUGCAUAGUUUCAUGAGACAUUAGUGUUGAUUGAUGAUAGAUAGUAUUAUAAGAGAUGAUCUAAUGUUCUUAGUGGAUAGGAUAACAAUUGCUCACUGUUAAUGUGACGUCGUCACGUCAACAAAUCAAACUUUUUUUCUUUUGAUCGUUGACGUGGCAUCAUCACAGUAGUAGGUGGGCAUUACAACUUUUGUCCACCGUACAUAGGAGAUCGUAUAGUCAUGGUUUUUGCUUGCAACAUGAAUGACGUUUCAUGUUGUAUAAUUUAUAAGAAAUAUAAAUGGAAUCUCAUAUUUGCCGAUAUACAAGAUAGUGAUAAAUGAACAUUCAUAUACUGGUUCAAAGCCAGUAAGUAGGUACCUAAAAGGUGAAAUCGAAGAAUUCUAUUGAACAGAAAAGUAGGGAGCCACGGUAUAUAUGCCUAUAUGCUGCCAAAAACCCUUUUGUAUUAACAAAAAAGAACUGAAAAAUUUUAUGUACCCUUUGCAUGGUUUAUCAUUGUGCGAUCUUGAUAGUACACACUGGUGGGAAGCGUUUUGCAUUCGAGCAGUAAUUGUAAAUCAUAUAAUUUUUCUGCACCCAUUUUAGUCUUUCUUGGCCUGUGGAAUCUAAUUCUUCACUUAGCCAUGCAGGGUUGGAGUUGGAGGUGGAGAGUUGGAACUCCAAGAAGACGACCGUGAAGAUCAAAUACAGGCAUUUACGUUGAAAUUCCUGUAGGAGGUAGUAAAUGGAGCCUGACUCUAGUCUGUUUUCACAAGCCCGCCUCUAGUUCCCUAGUCGUCCACGUUCUCUAACAUUUCCCCCAAUUGCUUCCUAAGUUCUUUAAGCUCAGGCUGAAACAUACGGUAUGGUGCCCUGGCGGGAGCUUUGGCGCCUGGAAUAAGUUCGAUCUCAUGAUCAAUCGUCCUUCUUGGUGGUAAUUUCUUUGGUAAUUCUUCCGGCAUGAUGUCCUCAAAUUCCCGAAUAAGCCUUUUAACGGGUUUUGGAAUAGGACCAUUCGCCUUUUCGGCCUCCUCUAAUCGAAGAGUGCACAAAAAAGAGGGUUCAUUUCUCUUGAAACCUUUACUAAAUUACAUGGCUGAGAUACUCUUCUCGCCCAUCUUCCCAACCUGUGUAGGGAUGACACACGGCUUAUUACCCAUCAUCAUUAACGAAUCGGAAUAUGGCAACACCGCUGUCUUAGUAUCCCGAAGAAAUUCCAAUCCUAGAGUAAGCUUGAAAUCAUCUAUCUGAACUGCAGAUAAAUUUGUCCUUCCCUCGAAAGGACCUGCUUUGAUCAACACCGAUUUCACCACUCCAGCUAUUGGUUGAGCAGCGGAGUUGAUUUCUUUGACUUUUCCACUACCCUUUUCUAGAACAAGUCCGAGUCGAUCUACUUCGGUACAUGCAAGGUAGUUGUGGGUAGCACCAGUAUUCACCAUAGCCCUAAUUGGCUUCCCAUUGAUUUUUACAUCAAUGUACAUUAAGCUUUUGGCCCUACAAAUUCGAGCCUUCACUUCUUCCAUCUUUGCCUCUUUCAAUGGGACAUCAUCUUUUUCAGCAACUCGAUGCGACAGGGUGUUGCACCGAUGUGAAAAUGCCCCAACUACUUCCUCAUUCUCUUCAGAGUCAGUCUCACUAUGACAAUUAGCCUGCGAGGCCUCUUGUUUUGAACUUGGCCCGCCACUUGCUAACUGACAAUAUGCAUUCACCAUCCACUUCUGAGGAACUCUGACACCCGAUGAGGUCCUUCACAUAAAAAGCACUUCAAUUUGGGAGUGACAUCAGUUCGGCCCUCCGUUGCUUUUCCUUUCUUCCAGUUGCUACUAUUACUGGCGUUAAAAUUUCCCUGACGGCUGUUAUGAUAGUUUCCCUAAAAGCCACGGGUGCUUUGAUAGGCUUCUUCUCUAUUAUGAGAGUAACGCUCUCCCCCAUUUGGGUUCGAGCUGGGUCUGUAAGAUCUGUUACCACCUCCAAUUGCUUGAUUACUCCCCGAAGGUCGAUCUUUUCUAGAUUCUGUUUGGUAGUCGCUCAAGCAUUCAGCGGCUCCCAUGGCUGUGCUCAAAUCAGCAACCUUUUGUCUUUGAAGUUCAGUGCGUGUCCACGGUUUCAACCCUUCCAUAAAGGUGAAGAGCUUAUCAUUUUCUGACAUAUCUCGAAUAUUCAUCAUAUGCCCUGAGAAGGAUUUCACAUACUCCCUGAUAGAGCUUGUGUGUUUUAGGUCUCGAAGCGCCCGUCGAGCCUGAUACUCGACAUUUUUCGGGAAAAACUGCGAUUUGAUCGCUUCUUUGAGGAGAUCCCAAGAAUCAAUUCGAAUCCUGUGGGCCUGAAUGUCAGCAUAUUUGGUUCGCCACCAUAGUUUUGCAUCUCCACCCAAAUACAUGGUAGCUGUGGUUACCUUUUUAGCUCUGUCUUCGAUUGAAGCUGUUAGAAAGUACUGUUCCAUAUCAAACAAGAAGUUUUCGACUUCUUUUGUAUCACGUGCCCCUCCGUAGGUACACGGUUUAGGAAUUUUGAGCCUAGGAGCAUCCUCAGGUACGGGAGCUUGCCCAUUGCCCACCGCACGUUGGAGUACCCGCAAUUGAGCUCUCAACGCUUCCAUUUCAUCCUGCAGAUCAGGAAUGAUUACAGCAGUUUCAGUCAUUGCUGCGCAAGCUCUUUGGCUUUCAUCCAAUUGGAUGUGUAAUCCACGAAUCUCAGAUUCGGCCAUCUCGACUUUUUCCUCGAGACCUUCCAUAGCAUAGCACAAUCUAGUAGUUGUCUCAUCAAGCGCAUCCACGCGCUGUUUCGUAGUACCCUUCUUUUGAGGCUCUUACUACUUUAGUGGUGUGGGAUGUAAUUGAAUCCAUAACUUUUUUAUCGAGGGUUGUGAGCCGCAGCUCUGAUACCAACUUUCACGGGGUGCCUUUCUUCUUGGCACAGAAAGGGACACCGUGUGGCAAUAGUCUGCUUCGCUAGACUACCUUCCGCCUUUUCUCGAUCGCAUUGGGACGAAAGAAAAUUUGAUUGCAAUUUUGUAGAAAGCUUACAAUAGAGAAUUUGAAUAUAUUGAAAGUAAAUUGAACAUUGAUUGAUGAAAAUUGAACAUUACAAUUGAUGAAAGCAGAAAAUUACAAAUGCUGGUGCAGGGGGCGGACACCAGUGAGCUUGAAAGAUUUUUGCAUGACUAAUACCCCCUAUAAUAGCAUUCUGAACAAAAACCUAAGUGACGGGAGUAGACGUUUAAAAGACGAGAAAUCAUACUAAACGUUUACCAAUAUCAGAGCUAUUUUACAACUGAAAUAACUAUUACAAUGAAAAGAAAAUUACAACUCAAACUUGAAGUAAUAUUUACAAUGUGCGACCGAAGUUGGGCAAAUUGCGGCUGCGAUAGUGUCAUGGGGCUAAGUAAAGCUGCGGUCCUUGACACCCAGUCUCGAGGUUGGUCACUUGAACAUCGUGGAAGUACUAGUAGAGCUCAGGCUCAAGCCUAACAGAAAAGCUACCAGUGGAAUGACCACAGCCUAAAGCUUUAUUGCAAGUAGCUAUCCCUGCCCCCAGGUAUGUAGAUUGCUUAACUUGUGUCCUUUUAGCCUUGCGUGCCCUUGAGCAGUUUAUUUUUAUAUUCAUGCCAAGUUGUCCUUGAGUACUAACUUUACUAUGAUAUAGCAAUUUGCUUUUAACUAUUGCUUCGUCUUGUAGACAUACAUUUCGUAUCAAAAGCCCUGUCACGAGCAGGCAUCAAAGCUUUGUCCCGUGCAAGCAUCAAAAGUCGUGUCACACGUAGGCACAAAAGCCUUGUCACGCGCAGGCACCAUUAAAAGCCACGAGCAGGCACCAAAGCCCUAUCACGAGCAAGCACUAAAGCCUUGACUCGUUCAAGCAUCAAAAGCCCUAUCAUGCACAGACACCAAAGCCCUGUCAGGAGCAGGCACUAAAGCUUUGUACUACGUAAGCACUUAAAGCCUUGCCCCGUACAGGGAUUCUAAGCAUUGCCCCAUACAAGCACCUCAAAGCCUUGCCUCCUCCCGUGCAAGCACCUCAAAGUCUUGUCCAGAGCAAGCACUCUAAGCCUUGAUCCACGCACCCAUGCGAGCACAUCAAAACCUUGCCACAAGCAAGAACGACAAACCUUACCCCGUGCAGGUACUCUAAGCCUUGCCACGAGUAAGCACAUCCAAGUCCUGCAAUACAUCAAGUAAAAACCCAACCACGAGUCUAUCCCAAGCUUGUCAAGCUCAAACUAUUCUCAAAUCCAUGGGAAUAGAGCUCAGGAUAUCAUUUUACGUUGGGCUUGGGGACUUGUCCUCGAGUUCAAUACAAUGUCAAAUCUCAGCCACUAGAGCUCAUGAUAAAUGUGUCAUGUGGAGUUCGGGGCCUGCCCUCGAGCUCAAUCCAUUUUCAAAUCCCAACCAUAAGAGUUCGGGAUAAUUGUGCCACGUUAAGCUCAGGGCUUGCCCUCGAACUUAAUCCAUUUUCAAAUCCUAACCACAUGAGCUCGGGAUAAGUCUCUCACAUUGGCUCGAGACUAUCCUUGAGCUCUGUACACUGUCUAAUCCCAGAUGCAAGGGCUUGGGAUAAUGAUCGUACAUUGAGUUCGGGCGAUGUCUUCUAUAUGAACCAUUGUCUAUUCGUCGAGCUCAUUCUUUUAAAAAAAAUUUAAACAAAGCUCGAGAUCGAGAUCAUUCUUUUCAACUUCUAUACAUGGUAGGGGUCAAGCCCUUACUUUAGCAUUUUUCAACAAAGCUCCAAGUUGAGUUCCUUCAAUUCAUAUCUUGAAAGCUCAGGUCGAGCUCGUUCAUGCCAAAAUCCUUUACAAGGUAGGGAUCAAGGCCUUUCUUUCAAAAUUUAUUAACGAGCAAGGUCGAGCUUCCUUCUUUCAAAAUUUUCAACAAGGUAGGGACGAAGCCCUUCCUCUCAAAAUUUAUGAGUUCGAGAUUGAGCUCCCCUCUUUCAAAAUUUUUGACGGGGCUAGGGUCUAAACCUCUCAAAAUUUUUUAAUGAGCUCGAGGUCGAGCUCCUUCCUUUCAAAUUUUUAAAUAAGGCCCGUGCACAAUUUUCUUUCAAAAUUUUGACAACGUUGGGGUCGAGCCCUUCCCUUCAAAUUUUUAAAAGGUAGGGGUUGAGAACAUUCAAAUUUAAAAAAAAAAAAAGAUUGAUAUCGAGCUGAGGUUCAUUAUUCAGGUACAAUUUUACAUACAAUUUCAGCAAAUAUCCUCAUAUAUUUUUCCCUUCUAACUUAAGUUUUGGAGGGGCGAUGAGAACACACCUCGUUACCUUUGUUGCAGAUACCAGAAGGCCUCGUUCGUGUCCUUUCUCAGCCCUCAUGCUCGGGAGAUCUAUCAGGUAUANNNNNNNNNNNNNNNNNNNNNNNNNNNNNNNNNNNNNNNNNNNNNNNNNNNNNNNNNNNNNNNNNNNNNNNNNNNNNNNNNNNNNNNNNNNNNNNNNNNNNNNNNNNNNNNNNNNNNNNNNNNNNNNNNNNNNNNNNNNNNNNNNNNNNNNNNNNNNNNNNNNNNNNNNNNNNNNNNNNNNNNNNNNNNNNNNGCAUUAAUAAGGAAGAAUAAGAAGCCAUUGCUGCUUUAAUGGUUUGUAUAUGGAUUUAGUUUAGUUUGUAUAGGAGGUGGGGUGGGGGAAAUGGAAGAGGAAGGUGCAGCAUAUUAACUGGUUAAUAUUAUCUAGUUUUGAAGUGCGGAUUCAAUACAACGUUAAAUGCUAGGUUGUUGUCACCAUUUUAUUUGUAUUGUAAGAGCAUUUUCAAAAGACUUUCUAUUUAUAAAGAGCAUCUUAUGUAUAAUAGAGUGUAUCUUUAAAUUUAGAGAGUAAUUUUUUUAUACACUUCAAUAAGCUCUCUAUUUUGAUUAUUUAUUUUAUUUUUUUAAAAUGAACAUUUAAUAAUUUUUCCACAUAUUUUGUUUAAAUAUAAUUUUUUUACAUAUUAAUGACCAAUAAAUUCAAAUGUAAUUUGAAAAAUUCAAUUUGUAGAGCAUUGAAAUUUGUAAUUUAUUAAAUGAAAUCAUUGUACAUAAAGAAUAGAGAGUGCGUUUGACUCUCUAAAUUUGGAGAGUGAAACAUACAACUCUAUUUUAAAAAGUUAAAAUAGUGAGUUUUGAAACUUAUUUUUAAGUAUUGACUUUUUAAAAUAGAGAGUAUUUUGUAUUUAAAAAGUCUCUUAGAAAUACUUUAAGCCAAUUAAAAUUCAUUUUUCUUUAAUUGGAGUUUUUAAUGACAUGUUGGACAAAGUGCAGUUGAUGGGUAGAUGAAAAUUAAUGUAAGUUGUGUAGGUAUUAAAAAUCUAGUUACUUAACCCCCAUUUGACCCCAAUUCAGUCCAUGUUUGUCAUUCAUUUUCUCUCAUUCUUUUCAAUUAUUUCUUCUACAGUAUUCAUUUUCAAUUAUAUAUUUUUCAUUAAAAUAAUAUCACACGUAAAUUAAAAACUUUCUUUUUUAAUCACACAUUUCAACAUUAAUCAUUAUUCCAUAAUACAUUCUUCCCAAAUGCAAAUAAUGGGUGACAAACACACUCUAAAUUACAUUCAAUUUUUCUCCUUCAUAUUUUCAACAACACAAUUUUCUAUAAAAUAAUAUUACACGUAAAUCGAAAUUUUUCUUUAUUUUUCAACCACUAAUUCAAGAAAACACUAUUCCACUCAUUUUCAUUUUCAGAAAAUUGGAGACAAACAAGAGCUUAAUUUUUUAUAUUAGAUCUGGCGAUGAUUUAAUGGAGCCCAGAGGAAGAAUUCGUGUAAUGAUCGAAUAAGGUUUAGCCCCCAUUUGAUACUUUGAGGGGCAAAGGAAGAUUAACUGUCUCGGGCACAGACUCUUGGAUUAAAUCCAUUUUCACUCAUUUUUAAUCACAUUUUUUCAAUAAAGUAAUUUUUCUCGAAGACCCAUAAAUUUUUCCUACUUUUUAACGAUACAUUUUCCCCAAAAAAAAAAAAAAAUUUGAAAAGGCAUGCCGUUAGUUUAUUCUGUAUAUAGGAUCACGAUUCACAAUAAGCAAGAUUUGCAAAAUUUUUGAAACACAAUAAUGAACCAUUUUAUUAGAAUACAAUGACUAGAUUGUUAAAUUAUUUAAACUAUGAAAUUAUUAUUUUAUUUUAUAAAACCUUUGUUUUUAAUGUCCAAUUUUACUUUUCGUCUAAAUAUCGCAUUUACAUGUCCUAUACGUUUCUUGGUUUCGUGCAACCUUAAUAAGUGAAAAUUAGUUCGUUUUGUUGAAAAACAUUUUCGGAAAAUCUACUCAAGUCUAUGGGAUGCAGAAGAAUGGGCUACGCGGCAUGGUCUGGUUAAAACGAACUGGACUUUGUCACCCUUUACUGCUGGAUACAGAAAUUUUUCUGCAGAAGCUUGCGUUUGGUCAUACAGAACUAAAUCUUCUGCUUGUAAUUCUAAUGACUUUAAGUCAAAAUGAUGGCUAAAAACGGGGUUGGAUUCAAAAAGCCGUGCAGAAAUGAAAAGAUUGCAGAGGAAGCAUAUGGUAUAUGACUAUUGUAUGGAUAAAUGGAGAUUUCCUAAGGGUCCUGGAAGAGAAUGCAAAUUUCAGUAUACAUGGAUUUGAUAUAGAUUCAUUUAUCCUAACAAUCACUACAACAAAGUGUGCUUUUUACUACAUACACUGUAUGUAUGCCGUAAAUAAUAUUUUACAACAUACAGCAACAUGUAGUAUAAAGCAAUGCCAUAAAAAGUGAGUCAUUUUUUUAUGGCGUGCAUAGUACGCCAUACAAGGAACUCCGUUAAUCAUAAAAAUGACAUGCAAAUUUAUACGUCGUUUAUAUUCCUUACACGGAGUUCAUAAACGUGAGAUACUUUUUACAGCAUGCAAAUAUGCCAUAAAAAUUAAGUUCAUUUUCACAAAUGAGCAUUCAAUUUUUAAAAAAUUAUUUAUUUAUUUCAUUACCAAUAAACCUGUAAUAAUUACAAAACAAAAUUAAUCCAUAUACAAUCAAGUUUUCAAUUGUUUCGAUAAAUAGAAACAUUGAGUACGAUUCAAUAUAAUAUGUCAAUGUAAAAUUCAUCUCAACAAUUCUACAAAAUUUUCGACUACUAUUGUUUGUGCUAAUUACAAUUCAACUAAUAAGCCCAUGGAUAUUGAGGUUUCAUCAUAACAAAAAAUGAUUAAAACAUAUCAAAGUUCACUUCUCUCACUAUCAAUUUAGCUAACCCACAAAAUAUCAAUUCUCUGCACACCACAGAAAUAAUAAAAAUAUAAUUAAUAAACAUGGAAAUCAAAAGUAUAUCAAGAAAUAUAUUAACUUCUAUCUAAUCAACAUAGUAUGCAUGAUAGUAAUUACUUGAAUAUAUUGUUAGUAAAACUAUAAAGUAAAUUUGAUUAGCAUAUGAUCUUUAACAGAAAUACAUCUAUAAGCACCAUACCUUUCAAAUAAAUAAAUAAAUAAAUAAUUAAUUAAAAAAAAUAGAUUAAGGAUAGGACUAGAAUACUAACAUAUAGAGCCAUAAAACAUCAACACAUAAAAACAACCCCUUGCAAUUUAACUGCCCAUUAGUUACCAUUAAUUGGUAACAAUUUCUUCAAUUUUUGAUUGCUAGCUAGCUAGACAUUUGUUUUGUAGAUGUCACUCUUUCGAAAUUCAUUUUUUUCAACGAAGUUCCUCUUAUUGAAAGUUUGCAUAGUCAAUUAACUUUGGCUAUAUUAUUCGAAAGUUUCGCACAUGAAUGAUUUUAAUAAAUAGAUGAUAUUUCGACUUGAAUUCAAAUAUUGAAAUACGUGAAGACGAACACAGAAGUUACUAAGUUGAUGCGGUUAUAAGUCCUAGGUUAUUCCAGGAGCUAAUAGAAGUUCCUAGAGUGUCCCAUAGUAGUCACCAAUAUGUACUAGUACUUUUCUUCAUCAUUAAAAAAUUUACCUACAAAAACCGUGUGUCAAAUUUCGCUCUGUUCCAAAGUCAAAAAUAUUAGUAGCAAAUGAAUUUCUUAUCAUCUUGAACAUUUGGAUAUUCAAUUUCACGGGCUUGAUCUCUCGUUCAUAGUCAGCAGGAAAAACUUUGCUUACUGGCUGUCACGACAACAGGUCAAGCCGCUUAUUUUGACAAAUAAAAAAAGGUUUGAAUCAUCGGCAUGGUAAUGCCACUUCAACAGAUGGACAACAUAACUUCAGUCUACUAUAAAGAUGGGACCAAUUCUAUUCAAUUUCAGUAUCAAAUUUUAGUAGAGUUCAUUUAUUGAUUAAAAAGUGGAUAUUCAAUUUCCACGUUGAGAUCAUUAUUAUUUUUUUUUAUUGUGAAGAACUUUAUUUAUAUAUUACAAAAUUUCUCUUGUUCUUCGAGAAUUAAAACUUUAUUUAAAACUUAAGUCGUGAAAGAGACUGAAAAGGCAUAGACUAGUUAGUGGUAACAAAAGCACUCAAGAUUUGGACACCAACGCCAACUAGCAUAGGAGUGGAAAUCGAGAAUUUCCAGGUGUACACAGCCUUACAACUUCAAGCUUCUAAGACGCUUCUAUUUAUAAAUUUCUCCAUUUACAUAUACCCAUCCAAACUAACAACAUUUUUCUUCAUCCAUAACGAAAAGGUUGUUCUUUUGUUCAAUUUCACAAACCAAGAAUUGACUAACCAAUGGUUUCUUAUAACUAUUCUAUUUCAUCAAAUGUUGUAGUUCUUUUGUUGUUGAUGCUAUGCACCUUUGGCUCUUUUCUACUAGCUCUGCUGGUAACUUUUUUAAAGAUUUUGAUAUGACAUGGGGCGAUGGACGUGCAAAAAUGCUCGAUAAUGGCAAAAUUCUCAAUCUCUCCCUCGACAAAGCUUCCGGGUCUGGCAUACAAUCCAAGAACGUGUAUUUAUUCGAAAAGAUCGAUAUCCAACUCAAGCUUGUUCCGAUUAACUCUGCUGGCACUGUCACCACUUACUAUGUAAGUCUCAAAAAGCCGCUAUGCUGAUUCUGAAAUCAUCUCGUUUAAAAGUUUACUUAUUUUAUUCCUCCCAUUGUACUGUGCAUUAUGCAUCUGUCUUCUCAAGGUCUAAACCAUGAUGAGAUAGACUUUGAAUUCUUGGGAAAUCUUAGUGGUGAACAUUACAUUGUUCACACUAAUGUGUAUACACAAGGCAAAGGUGACAGGCAGCAACAGUUCUACCUCUGGUUUGAUCCCACUGCUGAUUUUCACGCUUAUUCUAUUCUCUGGAAUCCUCAAACAAUCAUGAAAGUAUACUACAAGACAUAGCGUUAUCGACACAACUAGACUGUUUAGUGUCAUCGAGUCGACCACUAAUUAUUUUUUUAAAAAUUUUUUAAACUCAUUUUCGUACAUCUUGGUUUCUUGUUUUCAGUUUCUACAUUGAUGGCAAACCAAUCAGAGUAUUUAACAAUCUAGAAUCGCGUGAAAUUUCGUUCCCAAAGAACCAGCCAAUGAGGGUUUAUUCGAGUAUGUGGAAUGCAGAUGAUUGGGCAACAAGAGGUGGCCUUAUAAAGACUGAUUGGAGUCUAGCUCCAUUUGUAGCUUCUUUAAGAAAUUUCAAGACCAAUGCUUGUGUAUGGAAAUCUGAAAAAUCUUCUUGCAAGAAUUCAUCCUCAAAAACAUAGUCCUCACAAGAGCUUGACCCUGAAAGUCAAGAAAGGCUGAAAUGGGUGUAUACAAAACGGUUCCCUCUGGGCCUUCCUCAAGAAUGCACUUCCAAUACUAUAAGCACCAAUUAGAGACAGGAAAAUAAGUAGAUAUAUAUUGUGUAAAUUUUCUUUUCUCCUAGGCAUAUUUUGGGAUUCAAGAAAUAAAUGCUGCCACAGGAUCAGUAUCUUAUUUUGGUAAUGUAAGUACAAUUAUUCAUACAUUAGUAUAAAACAGAUGGAUUUUUUAAAAUGGACUUCUUACAAUGAGCAAUGUAGAAAAUAACCUUAGGUUUUAUGUUCUUGUUUAAAAGGCCUUUGAAAGCUCUUAUUUAGCCGAUUUAUUUUGACCUUACAUGCAGAAUUAACACAAUUAAAAGCAACAAGUCACUUUUUACAUUAGAUAGAAAUGUAAUUAAAGUUUAAUUACCUGAUUAGAAUCUAAUUAAAGUUUAAAUACCUGAACAAAAAUAGAAUACACUUGCACGAUUUACAGUAGAUAGAAAUAUAAUUACUACGAAUGGAAUUUCCCUAUGGGAAAAUUUCAUAAGUAAGAAAUUAAUUAUAACACAUUUCAAAAACAAGAAAACAAGUUUCAAAUUUCAAAAAUCAGAUUUUUAUUAAAAAUUAUUUAUAAUUUAAUUAAUUAAUUAAUUAAUUUAGUAAUUAAAUAUAUUUAUGUUACAUAUUUAUAUAAUUUAGUCACAAAUUAACGAUUUAAUUCGUCACUUAUUAUUUUUUAGUCACAAAUCAGAAAUUUUACGUCACGAUUUACUUUACGAUCACAGUUUAAAAAUUUUAUAAGUCACAAUUUAUUCAUCGGUCACAAAUUGAAAAAUUUAUAAGUUACGAUUUAUUUAUUGAUCAUAGAUCACAAAUAUUACAAUCACGGCUUAUUAUACAGUUACAAAUUAUCAGUCACAAAUUAACAAUUUUUUAGGUCACAUUAUUUUUCGGUCACAAUUUAUCUUUUUCAUUAGUCAUACAUUAUUUUUAGGUCACAAUUUAUCUUUUUCAUUGGUCAUAUAUUAUUUAUUGGUCACAUAUCAACCAAUUUAAUAGUUACAGUCAACCAAAUAAUUUGUGACCACCACCAAUACUUACAAUUCACAGUCAUAAUUUUCAAAUCACGUAUUCAAUUGUGAGUCACAGUCACAAUUUUCAGGUCACGUAUCCAAUUGUGAGUCACAAAUCAACCAAACCGUCACUACCAUCACCAUGACCACCAAAACCGCUAGGAUCAAAUGUGACUCCCAAAUUGUGAGUUACAAUUGAGAGUCACAAUCACAAGUUUCGGGUCACGUAUCCAAUUAUUUGUCACAAAAUCAACCAAACCUUCGUGACCACCACAACCACCGCCACAACCAUCACACCACCGCCACACACACCCCGCACACUGCCCCACACACGCACCCCCCUACAGUAACACCGCCACACCACACCCAUCCCUACAACACUACCACACCACACGCACACAACCGCCAGAGUGAAGCCACUACAACAAAGCCAUCGCCGUUGCCAGAGCCACCACAACGCACCAUCCCACCCACAUCACACACCACAGCCCACACGAACAAAACCACCAUCACCCAUCGCCACUAACAAAAUCCAACAAAUUCGCCAUCGAGAAUCCACCAUUACCACCACCAACAAAACAACCGCCACCCCAAAUCCAACAAAUCGCCGCCAUAGCCACCCAAGCACCACCAACAAAUCGGAUUCUCAAAAUCACCAUUGCCAGAACCAGAAGGCUGUUGGAUGUGUGCAGUCAUGUCGGCGCCAUCAUGCGUGGCGCUCGCCCUCCGGUGAUUUGUGUGUAGAUCACCUUCGUUAGUGGUGGUUGGUUGCGUCUCAUUGAAGGAGAAGGCGAGAGAUGGGGAAGAGGCUUAGUGAAGGAGAAGCCAAUAGGCAACAUCAUGUGCGGUGCUCGCCACCAAUGGUUUGCGUGUGGAUUGCCUUUGCUGGUGGUGGUUGGGGAAGCUCAAUGAGGCAAAAGAGGAGAGGUGGUGUAUCCACUCAUGGAAGGAGAAGACGAGAUGGAGGGGAGAGAGUAUUAGGGUUUGGGGUUGAAAUUGUGUGGUAAAUGAAUUAUUAAGCAAUUAAACAUAUCAACAUCUGAUUUUUGAAAGGUUAAACUAUUCAUCUUAUUUUAGAAUUGUGAAUUUUUAAAGUAGGGAAAUGUGUAAUUUCCACUUUCGCUAUUAUAAAUUGUCGUGUAUCCCUUUUAGUGUAAUUGGGCUUUGGCACCGAUCACUUUUUGAUGUCAUAGGAUCUUAGUUAUCAAAACUUGAUUCGAUUAUUAAUCCUGUUAAAUUUCUGAGUUAAAAGACCGUUGGUUUAAUUGACGGAUCAAAAAAAAUGUUUGUUGAUAUGACAUUUUACCAAUUUAGUAUUCUGUCACGUUAUGCAGCACUUAAUCCAAUGUUCCCUAAAUUAAACAAAAACAGACGUUUGUUGACAUGAAAUUGGACUAGUUCUCUUUUGCACAUGCCUUGCACUAUUUAGGUUAAUGCUUUAUUGAAAUUUGUUAGUUUUGUCAAAUUUCUUGUCACGUGCUUUUGUCAAAUUUUUACUAGUAGGCAACGUGGGCAAAAAGAUAUGUCACUUUUUUUCUCUCCUUUUUUUUUUUUAAAUGACGGGAGAACUGCAGCCUCUAUCCUUCGGGUGUACACUGGGUAAACCCUUGGGUUGACGCAAUAGUCUGCAAAUCACGUCAGUCAGUUAAAUAGCACUACGCAAGCUCGGUGCGACAGGCUCGAUCGAGAAAGUGUUAAGAGGUGGAAUCGAGCUCGUGAUUAAAGGUCUCCGUGCUAUCCCACUCUACCAGCUCGGUCACCCCAUGAGAGACAAUCACACACACUAUUUUGCUCUAUAUUAAAAGUUAAAAGUGAUAUGUUGAACACUCCAAAAUAAUUAGAGUUCUCAAUUUUUAGAGUGUCAUUUCUAUCUAAUAUCUAUAAUCAGAAACUAUCUUGUUUUAUCAAAGCUCAGGCACCGUGAGUAAUUAAAUGCAAGCUAUCAUUUUGUCCCUCGAUAUGAUUUGUCAAAUUCUUGUUGAAAUGCGACACGUUGUAUCACUUAUUAAUUAACAAUUUUUUAAAUAAAUUUUUGUUGCUUUAAAAAUUAGCUUGAAAGUACAUAUCAAGAAGUGACAUGCCUUGUUAUUUUUUUAUUUUUUUCAAAACGACAUACUGCAAUUAUUAUUGCGGCUGUAAAAUCAAAUUUGUAAAAGGUAAGCAAGUGAUUUUGCAAUAAUUUCAAAUAGACGGGGCAUCUUUCUCCAAAGGAACAUGCAGCUCAAGAAAUGAAGGUUAGGACAGAAGCAUACAUUGUGAAGUGAGAAAGAGAACAAAAAUUCCAUUAACUGAUCAGUAGAUCGAAUAUACGAUGGUUUGCACUUGAAACACCUUGAUCUAUAUCUCGACUUAUUGAAUUUGCACUUGGCACAACCUCACACAACCCUAAAAUCUAGCAUUGUCAUUUCCUUGAACACUCAUUUGGUUGAAAUGAGUAAUCAAAACUUAAAAUAUUCUUGUUGAGUAUAUGGAGAAGAAGAGAAGAUAAUGUUAAAUUUCAAUAUUUGGGCUACUUUCUUUUUCAAUUUUUCUGAAUCAUUUCUUCUUGUUGUAAUUUGUGUUUAUGGUGUUCAUUUUUCAAUAAUAGCUUUGAAUUCAUUUUAUUAUUAAAUUAGAGUUUUGAUAUGGGUUGCUUUUUAAUCUUUCUUGUUAUUUCUUAUUUUUGAAGUGAAUAUGUUGAUAAACACAUAUUUGGAUAUUCUGUUUGUUGUUCUAUUGUGAAACAUAUAUUUUAUUUUCCCCUUCCAGAACAACUUACGUAUCGUUUUCUACAACCCAUAACAACAUACCUUUCAUUAUCAAUAAUGUACGAAGUUCAAUAUUUGAUGAAAUUUUAAAAUUUUCAUGUUGAAUUGCAAUUAUGAACACCGUAGAUAUGUUGGGGAUUUAGUUUUUUUAUUUAAUUGAAUAUAAGCGGUAAGUUAAAAGUGCUUGGAAAUGGAAAUAUGCAAUGAAUGACAAAAGGAAAAAUGUGCUUAUUCUCAUUUUGAAAACAAUUUCUUGUGUGAACUUGUAUGAUAAAAUCAGAGAGGUGUUGAUAAUUGAUACAAUGCUAUACAAAAUAAAGAUGUCAACUCUUGUCCCUAUAAUGUCUAAGGCUCCAAUUGUAAGAAAACUAGUCAUAUUCGCCCCAUUUAUAAAGGUAAAAUAGUUGAUAGUGAAAUUUAAAGUUGUAAUAUUGUCGUAAUUUGUAGCUUUAUUAUUUUUGUACUUAUUGAAAGUACAAAAUGAUUUAUUAGAUUUUGUAGUCAUUGUGCUAUUAUCACUAUUGUGCAAUUGAAACAAAAUUAAAGUCAUUUCACGUUGCCGUGUUAUUUCACAUUACAGACAAACGACUUUUAUAUUGUUAUAGCUAACGCAUGUGUCGUUCCAGUAUAAAAAUACAUAGAUUCACAUAAUGACAUUAACAACGUUCAUGAGAUACAAAGUGAUAUUGAUGUCGUUCCAGUACGAAAAUUACACUAAUUCACAUAACGAUAUUGAAAUCAUUCCUGAAAUAUAAAACGAAAUUGAAGUUUCAAUAUAAAAAUUACACUAUCUUACGGAUUUUCAUAACAACAUUAAAGUAGUUAUAGACCAAUAAAACAACAUGGAAUGAAAGACGUUAUAUAAAAUACUUGCAUAACACAUGCGACAUAUGAAACCAUCACGUGCGCGUCCAAUGGACCAUUUGCUUUCUCGGGUUGUAAACAACUCGGAGAAUUUUCUUGGAGUUAACGUUUCAUCCCCAAUCUUUUGUUUUUCAUUUAGUGGAGACUUUCAUCAUGCAAUUUUCUAAAAAGACAAAAAAUCAGAAGUAUCAAACUCAAGAAAUAACAUAAACAACAUCCGUAUCUUUUCAAUACAAAUUUGAUGAGAUUGAAAUCGCUCAUGUUCAAAUCAUAACUAAAAUGACAAAGAUAUUGUUUUUUAAUAUGGAACGAUAUUGACAUCACAAUGUAUUAAACUCAUGAAAUAACAUAACGAUAUUUAUAUCAUUUUAGUUCAAAUCAUAAAUUUUUUUAUAAAGAAAGAUAUAAUUAUCGUUUACGUAAAAAAAGCGGUAUAUAUAUGUCGUUGUAGUUAUGAUUUGAAUUGGAAUAAUUUCAAAUUCAUCAAACUUAUUAAAAAAAAAAGAUAUAGAUGUCGUUAUGUUAUUUCAAAGGUUUGACACAACGAUAUCAUUAUUGUUUCAUUACAAUUUUGAUGACAUUGAUAUCGUUUUAGUUUAAAUCAUAACUAAAACAAUAUAUAUAUCGUUUGACUUUAUAUAAAAUAAUAAUUAUAUCAUUUCUGUUAGAAAUGACGAUUCAACCUUCCACAAUCGUCCAGCAUGCAUCCGAAAUAUGUAAGACGAUCGAAAUAGGUCGUUAAGUGGUUUCGAUCUCCCUUAAAAGAAACUAUGGAAACAUUUGUGUUCCCAUGAUUGUAUACUAUCUUUAAAUUAUUUCGAUAGAAAAAAGUAUCUUCGUUCGCUCUUUCUAAGUCAUUCGGGUAGUGUCAACCUAUUUGAUGACCUCUUUUCAGUCAUCUAUGUAUGUUGAAGUCAUCCGAGUGGCUGUGUACGGUUGAACCGUUGUUUUUAUAUAUCCUUUUUGCUAAAAAUGACGAUUUGACCAUCCACGGCCACCUGACUUGCCUUCCACAUACGUAAGACGAUCAAAAAAGGUUAUCAAAUUGGUUUAUAUUGCUCAAACAGCUUAGAAAGAGCGUCAUUUUUAGUCAAAAUGGUACAAUUAUCGUUUUAUAUGAAAAGAAACGACUUCGAUGUCAUUGUAGUUAUGAUUUGAAUUGAAACAAGCUCAAUCUCAUCAAAUUUGUAUUGACACAACAUGGAUAUCAUUAUUUUAUUUCGUGCGUUUGAUACAUAACGACAUUGAUAUUGUUACGUAUUAAAAGUAACGACUUCAAUGUCAUUGUAUUAUGAGUUGAAUUAGAAUGAUAUUAAUGUCGUAAAUAUUGUAUUUAAAUGACUUAAUUGUCUUUAUGUUAUUUUAUGGGUUUAUGUAUAACGUUAUUAAUGUCGUUAUAUAUUAAAAGAAACUACUUCAAUGUUUUAGGAGUGACUUGGCGCUCAUGCAUGGUCCAUGCCGAUGCAUGCAUUUUUUAAUCGAAAUGACUAAUCUAUAAUGACUUUAAUAUCGAUAUGAAAAUUAGUAAAGUAGUAUAUAUUUAGUAUGAAAAUGAUAUAAAUAUCUUUUUGUGUCUCAGAAAUGAUUUCAAUAUCGUUAUUUUAAUAGGUGCAAUUUUCGUAUGGGAUAAUACCAAUACCGUUUUGUGUCUCAAGAAUGAUUUCAAUAUCAUUAUACGAAUGAGUGCAGUUUUUCAUUGGAACGACAUCAAUAUUGUUUUGUGUCACAAGAACGAAGUCUAUAGAGUUAGAUGAAGCAGUAAAUAUAUUUUGACCUAACAACCUAAAUAUCGUUUUAUUCAUCAUAGAAUAAUAUCAUUAUCCUGGACAUGUACGAUAUUUAAACUUAAAAGUUAUGAAGACAUGAAAAUAUUUAAAUUUCAAUUACAUUCGAUAUCCUUAAUCGUCAUAGUUGCAAAUGCACUAGCUAGUAGCUACACAACAUCCUCAAAAUAUUGAGUAGUCUACACAAAGAAAACGAAUUAUAUACAAUACCCUAAAACAUCAACUACUCGAUCCUAACAAACAAAACAAAGUAACUAUAAUAUCAAAACAUCAAUAAAAAUAGCAAUAAACAAUCUAAGGCUUGAAAUCUCAUGCCAACAACUCUGUAGCCAAUUUCUUCCGUCAUAUAGGUAUAUGAUGCAAGCGAAUUUCAUUUAUAUCCAUUUUCGCUUGUAGAGAUUUUAUGCAUUUUAGAGGGAAUAUUCCACAGUCAAAUCUAAAAAAUAGUUGUGCAGUUAUAUUAAUUCUCAGUACUAGAAUAAUAUAGUUCUAACAAAUGUGAAGGUAGUCAACCUUACCCAUUUCUUUAUUGAGAAACAUAUUUCACAUUCAUAAAUUUGAACUCUUCCGUGCUAAUAUUUUUCAUCACUUGUGACCUGCAAUUUUAUUAACAAAGGAAUAACCUCCUGUAAGGUUAGAAUAUAAGCUUUCAAAGCUGCCUUACGAAUGUAACCUUUCAGACUAUCAAACUUAAAAAUUGUCCGUUCCACCAGAUUGAUUUGAAGUGCGAACCAAUGCUAGUAAAGAACAUAAAAAAAUAUGCAUAAGCUGUAUAAAUCAAAUUACUAGCUUUAUAACCAAAUGCGAAAUCAUCACGAAAGAUUAUUCUUUAUUUCAGACAUUACUUAAUAGUUUAAUAAGAGGAAUUAAGUCCAAUUCUAAGCACAACCUCCUAUUAUUAUUAUUAUUAUUAUUAUUAUUAUUAUUAUUAUUAUUAUUAUUAUUAUUAUUCAUAACUUAGAAGAUAGAAAACAUCAAAUUUGUAGAGAAAGUAUAAUAUGAAUUUUAAGCCUCAUUUUAGGUAUAUAUAUUACUCUCAUAAAAGUUUGACACUCAUGGGUAAAGUGAGCUUAUAUGGUGAAGUUGCCAUUUUAUAUGCAAAACUGGAAGAAAUAUAAAUCAUAUGGUGAAAUCGUCAUUUUUACCAAAAUCGACAAUAAUAUAUCUAAUGGUAUUUAGAAAAAUGCAAGACUUUGUACUUUAAUUGCUAGAAAAGAAAAGAAAAUCUAAUGGCCUUUCUUAAAGCAAAAAUGAGAAUGUUAGUCAAGCGGUAGCCAAUUCUAUUAUGCCAUCUUUAACAUUGUCUUUUACUUCCAUCUCAUCCCAUCAAAUAAGCAUUACAUUGCAGAGAAAGUAUAAUAUCAAUUUUAAGCAUCAUUUUAGGUACAUAUCACUCUUGUAAAAGUUUGACACUUACGGGUAAGGUGAGCUUAUAUGGUGAAGUUGCCAUUUUAUAUGCAAAAUUGGAAGAAAUAUAAAUCAUAUGGUGAAGUCGUCAUUUUUACCGAAAUCGACAAUAAUAUAUUCAAUGGUAUUUAGCAAAAUGCAAGACUUUGUACUUCAAUUGCUAGAAAAAAAAAACGAAAAUCUAAUGGCCAUACUUAAAGCAAAAAUGAGAAUGUCAGUCAAGUAGUGGUCAAUUCUAAAGGCAGCUUGCUUGAAUUAAAUAUUUAUUAAUCCAUUUUCUACUACUUGUGUGGAGGACGCCAAAUUAACAUUUAUUGAAUUAAACUAAGAAUAUUAGUCAAGUUAGUAUUUGAUUUGAAGUUGGGAUUUUUGUUUGUUUCUCUAGAUUUUAUGGUUAAGUGAGAUUGGCAAGCAAGCAAACACAUGGUACAACAAGGAAAGCAAAAGUUAAGGGAUUUCUUAUUCUCAGAUAUAAUUUUCCUAUCAUAUCACUGUUGAAAAAUAUUGGCAAAUAAUAGUGUCACCGUAAUGUAUAUUUGGGCAGAGUAACGAUGUUUUGAUGAUUUUGAAUGGUCGAGGCAAGAGUUUGACUCUUUCUCCUUAAAACGAUAAUGCCCCGCACUGGUACCGACGAUAUUGCAGCACUCCUUUCCCAACUUACAACGACCUCGUCUUGUAAUAGUAGUACUCCAAAUUACAAGACUCGACGAACCCGUAAAGUUUAGAUCUCUCCACACAAAUUGGAUGACUAAAAUGCACGAAAAAUAAUUUUGGAGGACUGAAUUAUAAAAGCAGAAAUGAUGCAGGGACAAUGAGAUAAUUUUGGGAGAGUAGAAAAUCAAUUCCGAUUUUGGAAUGAAUUAAAAUCGGGAUAUUGGGGGCCUAUAUAUAGAUAUUGAAAGGUUGUGUCACAACAGACACAACCGUCGAAAAGUUGUGUCCAAAAGAUACAAACAGUUUGGACAGUCAACCGCCACAACCGAUUAAACAUUCAACCGCCAAAUUUUAGAAGCACCACGUGUCACACACAGAAAAUUCGGGAAGAAAAAAAUAAUAACAUAAAAUAUAUUAUUAUUAUUAUUAUUAUUAUUAUUAUUAUUAUUAUUAUUAUUAUUAUUAUUAUUAUUAAAUAAUAAUAAAAUAAUAUAAUUCAAAUGUUAUUUUACCAAAAAAAAAUAUAUCAGCUUGGCCCAAACCCACGACCCACGACUCGUGAUCGUGCUGUUGGCGCGCGCGUGUGGGCUUUAGCUUAACCUACUAGCAUGUAGGUUCUCUCCCCCUCAAAGAUUAUUGGUAUCCCUGGAGUCCAAACCCAAGUCUCAAACUUGAGCUAUAUAAGGUGGUUUAUAUUCUUCUAGUUUUUCUAUGUGGGAUUGGUAUUUUUCAAUUUUCCACCUAUUUUAUUUCAACAUCAAGUGGGCAUCUUUUGGCCUUAAUUUUUCAUUCACCCUAAAUUGAUUUUGAGAAAAUAAAUAUACCAUGUUAAUCUACUUAUGGAAUAGAAAAUAUUUGGCCAAAGAAAUCUUACAUCCGAUUAUCGGGGCCCACUAAAUUAAUUGGUCAAAAGUUGGUUAAACCAACUAAUUAAAAUCCCAUUUUUCCAACAAUCUCCCACAUGAAUGAAAAUUAAUGCAAUAGACUAUGCGGACCCUAUAGAGAGAUCAGGUGGAAUGUUAUCGCAUCUGGAUAGGUACCUUAUGGGUUUGAACCUUCCAUAGUAGAAUACUAUCGGAUUUACUUGGUUAAUCAGUGAACGUGGUGCCUUGAACUGUCAGCCCUUUUUGUAAACCAAGACAAUAGAAUCAAAACAAUAACCUUCCUAACAUUUUCAAGUUCUCAAUGUUGUGUUCAUUUUGGCUCUGAACAACUCUUGGAUUUCAUAAGUGCUUUAGAGAAUUCAAACAUUUGAAAAUUCUCAUAGAAGUGGCCACACUUCACACUUGUAUAGGUGAUCUCCUAUUAAGAGUACCUGCUAUACUCCACUUAGGUAGUCCAAGAUAUAGGAAUCAUUAAAAGUAUAACUUAACCUAAAACUUUCUGCAGAUAGCACUUCCUUAUCAUAGGAAUGGGCAGGAGUUAACUCCGAAGUUCUUAUUUAAAUCUUCAUAACUUAGUUGUCCCAUUGAACCAAGAUUUUGGGAUCUCCAAUCAGCAAGGUUGGGUUACCAUUACAAAUAUUCUUAUGUAGUAGGCUUUAAGCCCAUUCCGCUUGAUAGGCAGUAUACUUGAUCUCUUGGUAAGCCUUUGGUAAGCGGAUCCGCAAGAUUUUCUCUAGACUUUACAUAAUCUAUGGAAAUAACACUAGUUGAGAUCAACUGCUUAACUGUAUUAUGUCUUCGACGAAUAUGUCGAGACUUACCAUUAUACAUACUACUUUAUGCUAUACCAUUAUACAAUGUAUACUAAUUGCAGGUACAGGCUUAGGCCAACAUGGAAUAUCCUCUAAAAAAUUUCGAAGCCAUUCUGCUUCCUCUCCAGCUUUAUCUAAAGCUAUGAAUUCAGAUUCCAUUGUGAAUCAAGCUAUACAUGUUUGUUUAGAGGAUUUCCAAGAUACAGCCACACCACCAAUGGUAAAAACAUACCCACUAGUGGAUUUCGAGUCUUUUGUAUAUGAUAUCCAAUUAGCAUCACUGUAUCCUUCUAAUACAGUUGGAUAUCUCGUAUAAUGUAAUCCAACAUUUGAGGUGUAUCGUAGAUAUCUAAGAACCUUACCAGUACUUUCCAAUGGUCAUUAUUUGGGUUACUUGUAUAUCUACUAAGUUUGUUUACUGCAUAUGCAAUAUCCGGAUGAGUGAGUUUGUAAUGUUCAUUAGACUGCCUAUUAUCCGAGAAUAUACUAAUUGAGAUACGAGUUCGUCUUUAUGUUUGGCCAAAUGUAGACUUAAGUCUACUAGUGUUUUAAUUGGACUUUCAUCAUACAUAUUAAACUUUUUAAGUACAGUCUCAAUAUAGUGAGAUUGAGACAUUACAAGUCCCUCAGAUGUUUUAAGAAUUUUAAUUCCUAAUAUUACAUCUGCAAUACCCAUAUCUUUCAUGUCAAAAUGUUUUGUCAAUAUUUUCUUGGUAUUUGUUAUCAUAUCAUAACUACUACCCACAAUUAGCAUGUCAUCAAUGUAUAGACAUACAAUUACAUAUGCAUUAGGUGUGGUUUUAAUAUAAAUACAUUUAUCACAUUCGUUAAUCUUAAAACCAUUUGACAACAUAGUUUUGUCAAAUUUUACAUGCCAUUGUUUUGGCGCUUGUUUUAGUCCAUGUAAUGACUUGACUAGUCUACACACCUUUUUCUCCUGUCCAGGAGCAAUGAAUCAUUCGGGUUGUUCCAUGUAAAUUUCUUCUUCUAGCUCACCAUUUAAGAAAGCUGUUUUGACGUCCAUCUAAUGGAUUUUCAAAUUAUGCAAUGCUACGAUUGUAAUUAAUACUCUAAUUGAUGUUAUCCUUGUCACAGGUGAGUAUGUAUCGAAAAAAUUAAGGCCUUCCCUUUGUUUGAAUCCUUUAACUACCAAUCUGGCCUUGUAUUUAUCAACUGAUCCAUCAGUCUUUAAUUUUCUUUUGAAAAUCCAUUUAUAACCUAAUGGUUUAUUACCAGGUGGGAGAUCUACCAAUUCCCACGUAUGAUUCUGCAUAAUAGAAUCAAUUUCACUAUUGAUAGCCUCUUUCUAGAAUGGAGUUUCUGGACUAGACAUUGCUUCAUUGUAUGUCCUAGGUUCAUUUUCUAACAUAUAAGUUAAAAAAUCUGGACCAAAAGAUGUAGAUGUUUUGGUUCUUUUGCUGCAUCUUGGUUCUUCAUCACUUUGAGGAUUACUAAUUGCAGAAUCAUAAGUUCGUUUUUGCGGGCUUAUUUCUUUCCUAUCUUUACAAGGAAACUUGUCCUCAAAAAAUACAGCAUUCCUAGAUUCAAUGAUAGUAUUUUCAUGUAUAUCCGGAAUGUCAGACUUAUAUACGAGGAACCGAUAAGCACUACUGUUAUUAGCAUAUUCAAUGAAUAUGCAAUCGAUGGUUUUAGGCCCUAUUUUAACUUGUUUAGGCUUUGGUAUUCGUACCUUAGCCAAACACCCCACACUUUUAAGUAUUUGUACGAAUGUUUAUGACCUUUUCAUACCUCAUAAGGAGUUUUAUUCCUACUUUUGUGUGGUACUUUAUUUAGAAUGUGGUUAGUUGAAAGAAUUGCUUCCCUCCACAAAUUUUGUGGUAAACUAGAACUAACCAACAUAGCAUUCAUCAUCUCUUUUAGAGUACGAUUUUUACGUUCCGCAAUACCGUUUGAUUGAGGUGAAUAAUGAGCUGUAGUUUGAUGAAUAAUCCCAGAAUCUGAACAAAAUUCAUCAAACGGUGCUCCAUAUUCCCCACCUCUAUCACUACGAAUAAUUUUUAUUCGUUUGCUUAGUUGAUUCUCAACCUCAUUCUUGUACUGUUUAAAUGCUUCUAAAGUCUCAUCUUUACUCCUUAGCAAAAAGACAUAACAAUACCUUGUGCAAUCAUCUAUAAAAGUAAUAAAAUACUUUUUAUUUCCUCUAGUUUGCACAAACUUUAAAUCACAAAUAUCACUGUGAAUUAGUUCUAGAGGAUUCGAGUUCCUUUCAACUGAAUGAAACGGUGUUUUCGCUAAUUUAGCCUCUACACAUGUUUCGCAUCGAUGAUUUUGAUCAAAGAACAUAGAAGGCAAUAGAUCUGAACUUACUAAUCUUCGUAAAGUAUUAACAUUUACAUGUCCUAACCUAUCAUGCCAUAAGUUAGAAGACUCAAUCAAGUAAGCAGAAGAUUUAUUUUUAUUAAUAUCAAAAUCACGGAGUACAGGCAUUACAUUCAAUUUGAAUAGCCCAUUGGCUAAGUAUCCUUUGCCUACAAACAUGUCAUUUUUGGUGAAUACAAAUUUGUCAGAUUCAAAUACCAGCCUAAACCCAGCUCCGGAUACCAAGUUUUUGCGAAUAUCGGGAACAUGCAGCACAUCGAUGAGUGUUACUUCUUUCUCUGAUGUCAUCUUCAGCACUACUUUACCUAGACCAAUAACUUUUAAUGCUGCCGAAUUGCCCAUGAAAAGUUGUCGUCCAUUGAUAGGAGUGUAAGAUGAAAACAUCUCCUUACCAGCACAAACGUGACGAGUAGCGCCAGUAUCAACAAACCAUUCUCUCGAAUUAUCCACCAUGUUUGCUUCAAAUACAACAGCCGAGAGCAUUAGUUCAGCACUUUGUUAGAUAGUCUUGUCUUCUUAACUCAAGUGCACUUGGUCCUUUUUGUUUUGCUUUUUCUGCCGGCAGUCCUUUGCAAUAUGACCAGGCUUACCGCAGUUAUAGCAAUCUCCUUUGAAUUUCUUGGCCUUGUUCUUUUGCUUGCCAUUAUUCGGGUGCUUCAUUUUCUUGCUAGUAUUUGGCUCCACCAAAUUGACUUUAGCCUCCAUUUGCUGCAUUCCAGACUUCUUUUCAGCAUUUCGAUUGUCUUCUUCAAUUCUUAAUCUAACAAUCAAAUCUUCAAGUCCCAUUUCCUUGCGUUUAUGUUUCAGGUAGUUCUUAAAAUCUUUCCACAUUGGUGGUAAUUUUUCGAUAAUUACAACUACCUAAAAUGGUUCACAGAGCUUCAUGCCUUCUGCAUGUAUAUCGUGCAAGAUAAGUUGUAUCUCUUGGACUUGAGUAAUUACUAUUUUAGAAUCUACCAUUUUGAAGUCCAAGAAUUUGCCUACAACGAAUUGCUUCAAUCAGGCAUCUUCUGUUUUGAACUUCUUUUCCAAUGAUUCCCACAGUAAUUUACCUAUUUUGACGGAACAGUAUACGUUAUAUAGUAUGUUGUCAAGGCAAUUGAGGAUGUAAUUUCUGCACUAGAAGUCACUAUGACUCCAAGCAUCGAAUGCUGCUCAUUUUUGAGAAUCUGUUUCCUUCUCCUCAACAGUUGGAGCAUCUUCUCUCAAGAUUUUGACCAGAUUCAGAGUCAUGAGAUAGAACAACAUUUUCUAUUGCCAUCUCUUAAAAUCCACUCUCGUGAAUUUUUUCGAUUUCUCCCCGUGAGCAUUGUUAGGGGGUACGACAAAAGUACUACUACUUGCCAUUAUCGUUUUAAGAUUGUUAAAAAAUAUUGACAAAUAAUAGUGUCACCGUAAUGUAUAUUUGGGCAGAGUAACGACGUUUGGAUGAUUUUGAAAAUGGUCGAGGCAAUAGUUUGACUAUUUUUCCUUAAAACGAUAAUGUCCUGCACUGGUACUGACAGUAUUGCAGCACUCGUUUCCUAAAAUACAACGAUAUCGUCUUGUAAUAGUAGUACUCCAAAUUACAAGACCCGGUGAACCUGUAAAGUUUAGAUCUCUCCACACAAACUGGAUGACUAAAAUGCACGAAAAAUAAUUUUCGAGGACUGAAUUAUAAAAAUAGAAAUGAUGCAGGGACAAUGGGAUAAUUUCGAGAGAGUAGAAAAUCAAUUCUGAUUUUGGAGUAUAUAUAGAUGUUGAAAGGUUGUGUCCCAACAGACACAACCGCUGAAAAGUUGUGUCUAAAAGACACAAACAGUUUGGACAGUCAACCGCCGCAACCGAUUAGACAUUCAACCGUCAAAUUUUAGAAGCACCACGUGUCACACACAGAAAAUUCGGGAAGAAAAAAAUAAUAACAUAAAAUUAUUAUUAUUAAAUAAUGAUAAAAUAAUAUAAUUCAAAUGUUAUUUUACCAAAAAAAAAUAUAUCAGCUUGGCCCAAGCACACGACCCGUGACCGUGCUGUCGACGCGCUCGUGUGGGCUUUGGCUUAACCUACUAGCAUGUAGGUUCUCUUCCCCUCAAAGAAUAUUGGUACCCCUUGGAGCCCAAACCCAAGUCCCAAACUUGAGCUAUAUAAGUUGGUUUAUAUUCUUCUAGUUUUUCUACGUGGGAUUGGUAUUUUCCAAUUUCCCAUCUAUUUUAUUUCAACAUCAAGUGGGGCAUCUUUUGGCCUUAAUUUCUCAUUCACCGUAAAUUGGUUUUGAGAAAAUAAAUAUACCAUAUUAAUCUACUCAUGGAGUAGAACACAUUUGGCCAAAGAAAUCUUAUAUCCGAUUAUCGGGACCCACUAAAUUAAUUGGUCAAAAGUUGGUCAAACCAACUAAUUAAAACCCCAUUUUUCCAGCAAUCACAAACGUGGAUCAAUAAAUGUUUAAUUCAAGCAAGUUGACAUGGGGUAAAUCACAUAGUGGUGGUCGGUUUUAAAGGCAAUUAAAAACCCACAAACAAUAUCUUGAAAAAAUCUAGAGAUUGACAGAAAAUUGUUGUUGAAUAAGGAAAAUUACCAUAAUGAAACAACAUUUUUGGGAAAAAUAAUAAAUUCUAAGGAGCUAGAAGCUGAGAAAUGUUUGAGAUUAAAUCAUUCACACACAAUCAAAUCGAGUCGAAAAUCAAGGAAUAGAGCCCAAAAGAAUUAGAUGAUGUUUCUAAAUAAACAUAUGAUAUUACCUCCCAAAUUUGGUAAUGGUGCCAAAAGGUUAUUAACAUGUUUCCUUUUUUUGCACUCUUUCAUAGUAAAUUAUUCUCAAUUUUUAUUGCAAUGCCGUGUUUCAUCAAGCAUGUAGUUAGGUUGUUCGUCGGCUGGCGAUUUGGUUGGGAAAACCCAAGAUUAUGGGGAAAGGAAGAAGACAGAUUUGAUUUGAAAAUGAAGAUGUAAAUGCUCCUUUUCAAUUUGGGUAUAAAUGGGUUUUGACGUGAAUAAAUCUCCAAUUUCUUCUUCAAUUUGGUUUUACAAGAUAAGAAUAAGGUGAUCUUUUUAUAUUUUUAAGUACUUAAAUUUCAUUUUAUUUUUGAGAAUUUGAUCAAAGUUCGUUUCAACAAAAAGAUAUUGAGGAGGGCGUGGGAGACAUUUCAACUCAUUCCCACGUAGUGAUACUGAUACUGUUUUAAUUAUGUAGAGGACAAAGCUGAAGGGCAAAACCUAAAAAGAUCUCAGACCCCUUUCUAACUACCACUCAACAAUCAUAAAAAGUUGCAAACACUUAAAUACCAGUCCACAAACACAGCCAUGUACAACAUGUAGGGAAUCAUAGUACUAGAUAAUCUCACGGGGGAUUGAUUUAAAAGGCUCAGUUAAACUAAACAACAAUUUAAGAAGGCCAAGAACUAAGGUUAUUAAUUAAAAGACUUUAAGUUAUUAAACAUGGAAAAUAGAAUUUGUAAAAGAGUAAAAUAUCCUUGUAUGCAAAAUGUUAUUAUUGUCCUAAUUUUCAUUUCAAUUUCCUUUCAACCCUAAUUGAAAUCCUCCUCUAUGAACGACUCUCUACGGUAUGCCUUCAUGCUCAUUUUCUUAUCAUCUUCUUUUAACAAAAUCUAUAUUCCCAUUUCCUUAAACAUUUAUUUGGUUGAAGUGAAUAAUAAAGUCUUGCUAUAUUCUUGUUGGGCAUUUGGAGAAGAAGAGAGGGUAUGGUAAAUUUUCAAUAUUUGGGCCGCUUCCUUUCUCCAUUACUUUGAAUCAUUUGUUCACGUUGUUGUAUAUGUGUUUGUGAUGUUCAUUUGUCAAUAAUGAUUUUCGAUUCAUUUUAUGAUUAGAUUGGAGCUUUAACAUGGGUUACGUCCCAAUUUUAUUCUCAUUAUCCCUUAUUUGUAUUAAUUAAAGUGAAAUGUGAAGUGGUGAAUGAUGAUUGGCUAUUCUUCUCAUUGUUUUCAUGUGAAAUAUACAUUUGACUUUUUUCAGUACAGAACGACAUACAUAUCGUUUUCUGAAAUCCUAAACGACAUAGAUAUAUUUUUUUGAAAUCCAUGACGAUGCACAUAUCGUUAUCAAUACUGUAUGAUGUUUGAAAUUUGAUAAAAUUUAUAUCUUAAAUUACAUGUUAUGGACACCAUGGACAUGGUAUGGAUAUCGAUUUGUUAUCCAGUUGAAUAUGAGCAGACAGUUGAAGGUGCAUGGAAAUAGAAGUAUCCUGGGAAUGACAAAGGGAAAACAAUGCCUAUUCUUGUUGCAAAAAUAAUUUCUUAUGUGGAACAAUAUGAUAAAAUUAAAGAGGAAUUGAAUAUCGAUACGAGGCUAUACAAAAUGGAGAUUUAAUCUCUUGUCCCGAUAAUGUCUAAAUCUUCAGCUGCACCAAUCAUAAUUAAUUGUGAUAACAACGUGAAGUGGUUUAUAUCUAUCUGUAGAGAAAUUUUUCUUCGUGUAACUCUUUCGAAUGAAGUUGUUGAGAAUCGAGAAGAUUUUUGUGAUGAAAAAUGUUUAUUACUAAUAGAUGGUGGAGAACAAAUUGGAAAUAUGAACGAGGAUAAACAUGAUCAAACAGAUAACGACGGUAACGAUGACAAUGGUGAUGGAAUAUUUGUAGAUUAUAAUGAUUUUGACGUAAGUGAAGGUAGUUCCCGAAGACUAGAUGACGAAGUUAAUUAUUCUAUUGCAGGCGACAAUAAUUUUAAGUUACAAACUCAUGAACCCUAUAGUCGGAAUAUAGUGAAUGGUAAUGAUAUUGAAUGUACUCAAAUUAUAACUGCAAGUGUAAGUUUACUCUGUUAUGAGAUAUAGUAAGAAUUUCGAAAAAUGAAGAUGUGUGAGUCAACCAGUUGUUUCCAUUGAAACAUGACCUAAUAGCAAAAUUGCAGUUGCUAGCUGUGAAGUGCCACUUUAAGUAAAAAAUUAAGAAGUCAAAUGAGAGCACUUAUAUAAUUAUUUAUAUUGAUGAAAAUUGCAAGUGGCACUUACGAGCAACCAAGAUCAUAGAAAGUCCAAUUUCAGAGUUCGAAAGUACAAUGGUUGUCACUCUUGCUCCAUGAGUGUUCGUCUCAGAGAUCAAAGGCAUGAUUCAUAUAUGGUUAUUGGAAACCACAUAACUCCUAAGUAUGAAGAUGUCAACCAAGUUUACAGAUCAAAGGACAUUAUUAAUGACAUUCAUCGACAGUUCGGCAUAACCAUAAGCUAUACUAAAGCGUAUAUGGCUAAAAAAUUUGCUUGUGAACUGAUUCGUGGAAACCCUGUGAGAGUUAUGAGAAAUUGCCAACAUAUUGUCAUGUUUUGGAGAUGCAAAAUCCUGGUACACUGACAUUCAUUCAUGCUGCUAAUGAUAGGCAUUUCAAGUGCCUUUUUAUGGCAUUGGGACCAACUAUACAUGGAUUCCUCAACUCAAUGUGAAAUGUAAUUUCUAUUGAUGGUGCAUUCUUGACAUCGAGAAUGAAAUGUACUCUAUUCGUAGCAACUUAUCAGGAUACAAAUUUUCAAAUAUUUUCGCUCGCAUGGAAAGUAGUUGAUUCGAAGAAUGAUAAAACUUGUACUUAGUUUUUUCAGAAGUUGUGAUUAAUAACAGGUGAUAUGGACGACCUUGUGAUUAUAUCUGAAUGUGUUACAAGCACUAAAAAUGAAGUUAGAGUUAGAACCAACUCGAAGGUGAUAGACAACUAUGAAAUCACAAACAUUACCAUAUUUUGUUCAAGUGAGAUUGAACUAGCUCGAUGGCCAAUUUUUAUCGUCGUACAUAUGACGGACGUAUGUUGAGUGGCCAUGGAUGGUCGAAUCGUCAUAUUUAAGCACAACGAUAUAAUUGUCGAUUCGAGUGUAAAGAAACGAUACCAAUAUCGUUUAAUUAUUAUUUCAACUGAAACAAUUUCGAACUCGUCAAAUUUGUAAUGAGAUGUCAUUUCAGGAACGAUUACACUACAACGAUAUCAAUGUCGUUCUAUACGAAAAUAAACGAUAUGUGUCCAAGCCUCUUACGCACCGAAGCAGUGUGAAUUUUAUAGCUAAAAGACAUACACAUCGUUGUUGUGUUUCAGGAACAAUUUCAAUGUCGUUACACAAAUCAGUUAAGCAAUGUGUUUUUAAUACCGAAAUGAUAAACAUGUCGUUUUGUGUCUUAGGAACGAUUUCAAGGUCGUUACGCAAAACAGUGGAGCAGUGAGUCUUUCAUACUGAAACGAUAUAUAAGUCAUUUUGUACUUUAAGAACGAUUUCAAAGUCGUUACGCAAAUCAAUGAAGCAGUGUGUAUUUAAUAUUGAAAUGAUAUACAUGUCGUUUUGUGUCUCAAGAACGAAUUCGAACUCGUUUUAGUAUCAAUUUUAACUGAAACGAAUUCGAACUCUUUUCUUCGCAAAUAAAACGUUACGGAUGUCAUGAAUUUGUAAUAAGCAUGCUUCCAAGUAGACAGCGCGGCCACAUUGCCUUAACCACUGCGGUCGCACUAUUAAGCUUCAAGUGGCCACCUUGCUCUCGAUAAAGGUCUAUGCAACCGCAUGGCCUUGACCACUAUGCGGCCGCAUAGUGGUCGCAUAUACCUUUUCUAUUUAUUGAUAGCCCCAAGCUAUUCCACUCAAUUGAAGAAUGACUUCCAAGUCGUUAUGUAUGGUCAUAUCGACUUCUAGGUCAUUACGAAAAUAAGGACAAGAUUGUGCAUUUUAUACUGAAACGAUAUGGCAAUGGAAGACAAUGGAAAAUAUGUAAACUUGUACAUAUAAAACUCAACAAUAUGGCAUGUAUAAUAUGUAAACUUGAAAGUUUUAGGAGAUUCCAAAAUAGCAGUUACUCCAGCAAAAAAAAUCAAAUCACUACAUAAUGUUAUCAAAAUAUGAAAAAGCAGCAAAACACAAUCCACAGUUUGAAGUCCCAAGCCAACAACUGUGCAGCCAAUUUCUUUCGCCAUAAUGGUACAUAAUCUGAUCGAAUUGUAUUUAUGUUUAUAUUCGCUUGCAGAAAAUCUAUGUAUUUGAUAGCGAAAAUUUCGCAAUCAGAUCUAGAAAAAAGUUGUGAAAUUAUUGUAUUAAUUUCCAACACUCAAAAUAAUCUAGUACUCCCAAUUAUGAAAUUAGUCAUUCUUAUCCAUUCACUUGUUGGGGAACAUCUUUCACGUUCACAAAUUUGAACUUCUCUAUGCUAUAUUUAUUUUCACUCGUGACAUGGGAUUUUAUUAGCAAUGGAAUAACCACCUGUAGAGAUAGUAAGUAAGCUUCCAGUGCUAUCCUGCGAUGUGACCCUUUAGACUGUCGAACAUAAAAAUGGUCCAUUCCUCGAUGUCGAUUUGAACUGCAAACCAAUGGUCACAGGUACAACAAGGAAUUUACAAAUAUCUACAGUCCUUCCAAGGUUUAUCGAGCUCCAAAUUAGCCUCGCUCACGUAAUUAAUCAAACUCUUACUAUAGUUGAGCUCUUUACUCGACUGUAACUGACUAUGUGCAUUGACAAUAAAUUGAUAGAAAUAAGUAUCCAAUAUGCAACAGUCUUCCUGGAAUAGAUUGAGAAACUUGGAAGCCCUUUCUCGUAUCUGGUAUAGGGCCUUGUUAAUAAUCUACAAAAAUAAACUAAUAAAUUCAAACUGAAUUCUUGUGCGACAUUAUCAUAAAAUCAUUAAAGUUGGAUUACUUAUACUUCUAGUAAUCCAACCAUUCUCAUUUAAAAGAUCCAUCAAUUUUUUUGUUUGAACAUUAUAAAAGCGCAAAGGUAUAAUUUGGUUGUGCAUAUGACAAAAUUAACAUGAAGUUAUAUUUAUGUAAUACUGUCAUUACUUUUACAUGUACUUGCAAUUAUAUGUAAUAAUUUACCUAGAAGAUGCAGUUUUCGUCCAUUUGAAAAAAGCCUCAACCUUCAUGGGAUCUACUUCUCAAUAAGAAUAGUAUACAUUGAUGUCCAACAACUUUCUCUUCUUUGUCGGGUCCAUAUAGGGAGAACACCAUAACCAUGCUUUUUUCUUCGGAUGAUACCCUCGUCAUUUUGAUGGAUCACAUCCCGCCUCAUCGAUUUGUACACUGUCGCCUAUAUGUUGCAAGUACCAACAAUUAGAAAUCUAAAAUUUGUUUCAUUUGGUUAUAAAGACUAAAACUGAACUUCAAAUUAAUUUUUACAUACCUUUCCGUGGAUUCAUUCGCAUCCAUAUCAUACUUCUCAAGCGUCACAAAAUCAGCAAUACCUUUCUCUACGUCGGGAUGCUCUUUCUCUAAUAUUGUUUCUUUUCCAACACCCUCUUCGACCAUUUUUUCAUUUUCUUGCUCCUCUAUAUCAUUCUCAGAUCCAACCUCGGUUUUCUUCUCUCCUACAUUUUUUCCUCUAACCACCGUCUCUAACUUUGGGUCCUCCUCAAGCGCUUCUCCUUUCUUUUAGCAGCAAGCACAUUUGACACAUAAUCAAAUCCAACCUCCUUUUCCAACACACCAUUCGGUUCAUAUUAUGGUAUUUAAGCUGUGCUACUCGUGGCACUAUCAAAUGCACUAGUUGCUGAAUAGAACCGACCUGCCAUAGACUAUUCUACCAACUUGUCAACAUUUUUCUCCACCCGAUCAAGUCAAGUCGAUAUGACUGCUUGAAGCAUUCCCUCAAGUUUUUUCCAUUUCCAUUCUCAAUAAAUCCGCUAUGUUAAUCUCAAAACAGACCUAUGGAGGUUGAGCUGUUCUCGAAGACUCUUAGUGGUAUGCAUUAUGUGGCUCGGCAUCAUGCUCAGCCUCAUCUCCUUCAAAAUGGUGUAAACCACCCUCAUCUUCUUCCGCGAUCGGUGUUAAAUCUUUCCAAUAGACCUUAUCGAGUUCGGCUUCAGUGGGAAUCAAUGUAGAAUUAACGUCCCACUACAAAUAUUAAGUCCCUGUUUGCUUCCCAUUAUUUGGCCAUUAAAGUAAAAAAUAUGACCGUUAUCCAUCACAUCAAACCAUCAUAUUUGAAUUUCUAUCUCUUGUGUGGAACUGUAACGACUAUAUUUUUCAUUCUUAUUCUUACAUUAAUGGAAAACAAACAGGGCUAAAUCUGCAAAUCAUUAGUCAUCCAGUAAGCUAAUUCCAUAAUUUGCCCUCUUUAAACUUUAAAAAAAAAAAAGUAAAUUUACCUCUUUCAAUUUCAACACAAUAUCAAUAACGACAGACGCUAACCUUUUCAACAUUUUCCAAGCAACCAUUCUUGGGAUAUCUGGAUAUUUUGUAACAAACUUUAUUCCCAAAGUUGGAAUUGUUCGAAUACCCAAAUCUAUUAUAAAACAAACAUUACUAUCUCAUGACACAAAUUUAUAUAUAAAAAAUAUUACAAGUUAAGUGUAUUGUUUGUUCGUACCAUUAUAGAGAAGGGAAAGCCAUGCAACGAAUACCGACAAUGUGACUCUCCUGCGACAUCGUAACUUUUCAAUUUACCUCAUAUUUCAUGUCUGAAUACAUUCAUGGUAUAUUCAAAUUAAAUCUUCCCCCCCCCCCCUCACGGACACCUAUCAAACCUGUCCAAAUCAUCUACCAAGUCCAGCCACCAUAAAUCGAUGUAGGUGCUUUCCUCCGUGGCCCACAAGACGUAUGCCAAUAUUACAAUCAAUCCCAACUUAUACUCAUCGCUUUUUCUUUUCAUGCAAUAUAUAAAUGCAUUGUAGACAUCUCCCUUUGUUAAUAGUUCUUCAACCAUAUUUUUUGUUAAAAGAUUUAAUUUAUGUUGUCCAUCUGUUGUUCUAACAUCUAUGGUUUUUUUUUUUUUUUUUUUACGAUAUUCAUUUAUUACUAUUCUUUCUCUUUUCUAAAUUUUAUCUAAGACUUCUCAUUUCCCUAUUUUUAAAUCUAAAGAUAAUUUUUGUAAUUUUCUAAAUUUAUUGUUAUCAAAUGUAAUUUUUAAUCCAUAUCCUUCUAUUCCUUCAUAUUCUUGUAUAUUUAUAUUAUUACUUUCUAUUUCUUCUAUUUCCUUAUUCAGAUUCUGAUUCAUCAUCCUCUAUUUCGCUUAUAUAAACUUCUUGAUUAUUACUUAUCAAAAUAAACUUCUUGAUUAUAAUAUUCGUCAAUAUCUGAUAUUUCACUUAAUUCUUGUUUUGUUUCCAAAUAUUCUUUUUGUAAUGUUUUAACUUUCUUUUUAUCACAAUCAGGGCUUAUAUGACCUAUUUCUCCACAAUUCCAACAUUUACAUUGCCUUUUAUUUUUUUUUAUAACUUUUAUUUUUCUGUUGACCAUAUGGGAUAUUUUUUUUAUAAUAUUUCCUUCUAGGUUUUAUAUAUUUUUUAUUAAAAUUUCUAAAAUUUUUAAAUUUUUUAUUUUUAUAUUUUCUUUUAUUAACUCUUUUUUAGGAUUACAUCCAAAUUGUAUAGGAUUUUUCAUAUCUUCACAACAUAUUCUAAUUAGUUUUCCUGAUUUUUUCAUUAAUUGUCUUUGUUGACAUAUAUAUGCAAGUCUUUCAAAUAAAAUUUUUAUUCUUGAUCCUUGGUAUUCCAAUAUUAUCUCUAACAUAUUUUUCAAAUUCUAUUUUAAAAUAUAUUCCCCAUGAACCUGGUAAUUUAUUAUAAUACAUAUCUUGGUAUACUUCUUAGUUCUCAUUACUAUAAAAUUGAACAUAAUGAUAAUUUAUAAAUUCACAAAUAUAUUCUUUAAUUUUAUACAUAUAACAUAUUGUUAAAUUUAUUAGUUUAAUUCUAACAUUAUCUUUUUCUUUUAUUUCUUCUCUUUCAGCAUUUCUUAUCCAAAUUUCUUCUAAAAAUUCAUUUGAAAUAUAUUCUACUAACUUUUCUAUACCUUGUUUAUGUGAUUUUAUUAUUUCUAUUUUUACAUUUUUUUUAUUAAUAUUUUUGUAUUAUUACUUAUUCAUUAUCACCGAUGUCUAACAUCUCUUUCAAAGGAUGCUAUUAAGAAAUCUAUUAUUCUUUCAGUAAUUUCCCAUGUGUCAUAUUUAUUAUAUAAAAAAAAUAAUGUCAUUAAAUCUGCCCGAGUUAAUAAAGCUUUUUUAGUAUCUAUUUUACAAUUUAAAUUCAAUUUUAUUCCUCCAUGAUUAAUAGGUUUAUCAUAAUUAUCAUUUAAUUCAAACAUGUCUCUAUAUUUAUUUCCCUUAGUUGGAUGUCUAUUUCUUACUUUAUCAUAAAAUUGUCUAUAUGGUUUAUUAUAUAUAGGUGCAUAACUUUCAUCUAAAUUUUGUAAUUCUUGUUUAGAAGUUCCUAUUGGAUUAGGUCCUCCUCCAGUAUUCAUUAAAACUUGGUAUUCAUUUAUAUUACUUAAACUUAAUUGAUCAAAAUUUUCUAUAAGUAAGUCUAAUUCCUCAUUCAUCUUUAUCAUUUUUCUUCUACUUUUAACUUUCUUAAUAUUUUUUUCUCUAGAUUCUUCUUCUUCUAGUUCUUCUUCUAAUAAUGUUGGUAACAUAUUUUUCUUAAAUUCAUCGUCCAUACUUCAUGUUUCUAUUAUUAUACUCUUUCUCAAUAUAUUUCUUAUCUAUUCGAGUCAUUUCUUUUUCUAUUAAUUUUUUUUAUCUAUUUUCUUUUUUUAUUUUUAUUAUUUUCUUUUAUUUCUCUAAUUUCAAUUUUUAAUAUAUUUAUAUCAUUUCUUGUUUCCCUUACUUCAUUUCUUAAAUCUUGUAUAUCAUUUAUUAACAUUUUUAUUAAUGAUUUUAAUUCUCCUAUAUAUUCAUUUAUUGACAUAUUAAAUUCAUCUUCCUAACGUAUAAGUUAAUUUACAUCUUUUAUCUUCUUUAUUAUCUAUUAUUUUUCCAAAUCUUCUAUUGGCUAUAUCUGGAUCUAUUAAUUCUUCUUUUACUAUACUGAAAUAUUUAGUCUCAAAUCUUAAUCUUUCAAAUUUUAAUUUUAUUAAUUGUCAUUUAUUUGAUACUCUUAUUUCUUUUUAUUAUUAACAUUGUAUCUAGUAUUUUUCUUGUAUUUUUUCCAUUUUUAUAAUUAAUUUAUUUAAUUUUAAAUUUGUAUUAUUAUUUACACUUAUACUUCUAUUUGUAAUAUAAAUUAAUUUCUUCAUCUUUAUAUAUAUUAAUAAUUUUUUCAUAUGUAUAUAUCUCCUUUAUUGUUUCUAUUAUUAAUUUUUCUAAUAUUUUUUUUAUUUCUCUGGAUAAUUCUUUUACUAUUGUCAAUGUCAUUAUUUUUAAUUUAUUAGAAAUACGUUUUAAAAAUAUAUAACUUCCUUUUUCUUCUUCUAAUUUAUAAUAAUUAUCUAUUUCUCUUAUUUUAAUUUUCAUGAUCUCUAUGGCUCUGAUAAUGGAGGAGGCUACUUAAAGCAAACAAAAAUCAAAUAAAUCAAAUAAAAAUAUAUAUAUUAAAAUUCAAGUAAUAUUUAAUUUUAAUGACUAAAUUAGAAAAUUUCUAUAGUAUAAUGACUUGUUAUGUAAUAUCUAAAUAAAAGGUAUUUUAAGUAUGUAAAGUGACCAAAUGUCAUUUUAGAAAAACGGCUUUUUUUUUAUAGGCUAUUUUCAUGUAUUUCCCCCUGGAUAAUCAGCUUCCACUUUAGAGAUUGCCAGUAUCAGUUCCAACUGACCAAUCGUCAAUCGACCCGAACGUGCUAACUGGAGGUAGGUUUGACCUUACUGAGAACAUUCCUUUUUCACUUGACAGUUGACAAUUGAGAUCUAGCCAAAAAAAUAUAGUCGUAAUAAUUGUCGAACUUUCUGAGAGGUACAGUUUCCUCUGCUUUACACGUUUCCAAGGGGCAUUUAUUUAAAGUGUGAGCAGCUCGUAAGUGUUGGCAUUUUCUUUAAUUUGUCACAUCUAUUUCAGCUGUUAAGGGCCUGAGAAUGAAAUACGUUCUCCACUUUCAAUUUUUUAUUUUUUCAUUUUUGGGUUUGUUGCUGGGGUUUUGGGUGGGGAUGGGCGUGGGGGGGGGGCUGCUUUGGAGUAUUUCUGGUGUUCUUGACCUUUCUUUUUCUGGGAGGGGAUUAUGGUGGCUCCCCUUUUCCCGCCUAUAUAUAUAGAAUAUUUUAAGAGGUGAUCAUCUAUCUUAGUAGCACGGUCGAGGCUUUAAACCAUAGAUAACAACCUGGAAAUGUGUCAUGGAUUUUGGAGCUAGGAAAUGAUUUGUGUUCUUGGUGGUGGAAGGGUGAUUGUUUGGGUUGGUGGUGGGGGUGGUUGGCACACAGAUCAGGAAAGUGCGCAUACCAUUAUACAAUCUCUGUCGCUCUCUUUUUUAUUCCACUCUCUUUUGGUCAUCUUCACUGGUAACCUUUACUAUUUCUUGAAAUGCGACAGAUCAGGAAAAUGCAUGUACAAUUAUAUUCUAUUCUUUUUGAAUCCUCUAUUAUUUCUUGAAAGUUCAUAUAGAUGGCCGCACGGACAUUUGUUUCGUAAUGCAUUGUGAAAAUUAGUAAUUUUUUCUUCUCAAUCCCAGGUUCAGUUUACAACAAUAUGAUUACUCGAUAUUCUACCCAGUCUCAGCUUAUGAAUUCCAGUUCCCGCAGCCAGUUUGAUACCACCUCUUUUACUCAGCCUGACCAGCAGGUUAACUUAUCAUAUGAUGAUAGGAUUGGGGUUGCUCUUGGUCCACCUCUGUCACCAUCAUUCCAAGCGGGAAUCUCUUCUAUUCAGCAAGCGAAUCUUAUUCCUUCUGAGGACUG